rnacentral:rRNA from 1 species
UACGUAGGCAGCGAGCGUUGUUCGGAAUUACUGGGCGUAAAGAGUGUGUAGGCGGUGCUCUAAGUUCGGUGUGAAAUCUCCCGGCUUAACUGGGAGGGUGCGCCGGAGACUGGAGUGCUCGAGCGUGGGAGAGGAAAGCGGAAUUCCUGGUGUAGCGGUGAAAUGCGUAGAUAUCAGGAGGAACACCUGCGGUGUAGACGGCUUUCUGGACCAUUGCUGACGCUGAGACACGAAAGCGUGGGUAGCAAACAGG